rnacentral:rRNA from 1 species
CAAUAGCGUAUAUUUAAGUUGUUGCAGUUAAAAAGCUCGUAGUUGGAUUUCGGAUGGGACUUGCCGGUCCGUCGUUUCGAUGUGCACUGGCCAGUCCUAUCUUGUUGUCGGGGACUAGCUCCUGGGCUUCACUGUCCGGGACUAGGAGCUGACGAGGUUACUUUGAGUAAAUUAGAGUGUUCAAAGCAAGCCUACGCUCUGAAUACAUUAGCAUGGAAUAACACGAUAUGACUCUGGCUUAUCUUGUUGGUCUGUGAGACCAGAGUAAUGAUUAAGAGGGACAGUCGGGGGCAUUCGUAUUUCAUUGUCAGAGGUGAAAUUCUUGGAUUUAUGAAAGACGAACUUCUGCGAAAGCAUUUGUCAAGGAUGUUUUCAUUAA